rnacentral:misc_RNA from 1 species
UCCGAGUUGUCCCCGGCAGUCUCCUUAGAGUCCCCGCCAUUACGCGCUGGCAACUAAGGACAGGGGUUGCGCUCGUUGCGGCACUUAAGCCAACACCUCACGGCACGAGCUGACGACAGCCAUGCAGCACCUGUGCUGGCCCCUUACGGAGCCCUGCUUUCACAGGGUUUAACCAGCAUGUCAAGCCCAGGUAAGGUUCUUCGCGUUGCAUCGAAUUAAGCCACAUGCUCCACCGCUUGUGCGGGCCCCCGCCAAUUCCUUUGAGUUUCAACCUUGCGGCCGUAGUUCCCAGGCGGUUCACUUAAUGCGUUAGCUGCGGCACCGAGGUGAAACCCCGACACCUAGUGCCCAACGUUUACGGCGUGGACUAC